rnacentral:rRNA from 1 species
AGAGUUUGAUCCUGGCUCAGGAUUAACGCUGGCGGCGUGCCUAACACAUGCAAGUCGAGCGGCAGCGAGUUUUACACUGAAUUCUGGAAGCUUCUAGUUGAAAGAGAAGAUUUAUUCAAGAAUUUUGUGUAAAAUGUCGGCGAGCGGCGGACGGCUGAGUAACGCGUGGGAACGUACCCCAAAGUGAGGGAUAACGCAUCGAAAGGUGUGCUAAUACCGCAUAUGGUCUUCGGAUUAAAGCCUUCGGGCGCUUUGGGAACGGCCUGCGUAAGAUUAGAUAGUUGGUGGGGUAAUGGCCUACCAAGUCGACGAUCUUUAACUGGUUUGAGAGGAUGAUCAGUCAGACUGGAACUGAGACACGGUCCAGACUCCUACGGGAGGCAGCAGUGAGGAAUCUUCCACAAUGGGCGAAAGCCUGAUGGAGCAACGCCGCGUGCAGGAUGAAGGCCUUCGGGUUGUAAACUGCUUUUAUAAGUGAGGAUUAUGACAGUAACUUAUGAAUAAGGAUCGGCUAACUACGUGCCAGCAGCCGCGGUCAUACGUAGGAUCCGAGCGUUAUCCGGAGUGACUGGGCGUAAAGAGUUGCGUAGGUGGUUCGAUAAGCGAAUAGUGAAAUCUGGUGGCUCAACCAUUCAGACUAUUAUUCGAACUGUUGAACUCGAGAGCAGAAGAGGUAGCUGGAAUUUCUAGUGUAGGAGUGAAAUCCGUAGAUAUUAGAAGGAACACCGAUGGCGUAGGCAGGCUACUGGGCUGUUUCUGACACUGAGGCACGAAAGCGUGGGGAGCGAACCGGAUUAGAUACCCGGGUAGUCCACGCCGUAAACGAUGGAUACUAGCUGUUUGGGGUAUCGACCCCCUGAGUAGCGAAGCUAACGCGUUAAGUAUCCCGCCUGUGGAGUACGAUCGCAAGAUUAAAACAUAAAGGAAUUGACGGGGACCCGCACAAGCGGUGGAUCAUGUUCUUUAAUUCGAUGAUAACCGAUAAACCUUACCAGGUCUUGACAUCCUUGGAAUCUUUCAGAAAUGAGAGAGUGCUUUUUAAGAGCCAAGUGACAGGUGAUGCAUGGCCGUCGUCAGCUCGUGUCGUGAGAUGUUUGGUUAAGUCCAUCAACGAGCGCAACCCUUGUCAGUAGUUGUAUUUUUCUACUGAGACUGCCCCGGCAACGGGGAGGAAGGAGGGGAUGACGUCAGGUCAGUAUUUCCCUUACGUCCUGGGCUAGAAACGUGAUACAAUGGCUAGUACAAUGCGCAGCGAAGCCGCGAGGUGAAGCAAAUCGCAUCAAAGCUAGUCCCAGUUCGGAUUGUAGGCUGAAACUCGCCUGCAU